ACGAACGCUGGCGGCGUGCUUAACACAUGCAAGUCGAGCGGUAAGGCCCUUUCGGGGGUACACGAGCGGCGAACGGGUGAGUAACACGUGGGUGACCUGCCCUCAGCUCUGGGAUAAGCCCGGGAAACUGGGUCUAAUACUGGAUAUGACUCCAUGACGCAUGUUGUGGGGUGGAAAGCCUUGUGCGGCUGAGGAUGGGCCCGCGGCCUAUCAGCUUGUUGGUGGGGGAUGGCCUACCAAGGCGACGACGGGUAGCCGGCCUGAGAGGGCGACCGGCCACACUGGGACUGAGACACGGCCCAGACUCCUACGGGAGGCAGCAGUGGGGAAUCUUGCGCAAUGGGCGAGAGCCUGACGCAGCGACGCCGCGUGAGGGAUGACGGCCUGGU
rnacentral:rRNA from 1 species